rnacentral:rRNA from 1 species
UGAGGAAUAUUGGUCAAUGGGCGCAGGCCUGAACCAGCCAAGUCGCGUGAGGGAAGACGGUCCUACGGAUUGUAAACCUCUUUUGUCGGGGAGUAACGUGCGGGACGCGUCCCGUAUUGAGAGUACCCGAAGAAAAAGCAUCGGCUAACUCCGUGCCAGCAGCCGCGGUAAUAUGGGGGAUGCGAGCGUUAUCCGGAUUUAUUGGGUUUAAAGGGCGCGUAGGCGGGACGUCAAGUCAGCGGUAAAAGCUGCAGCUAAACUGUAGCACGCCGUUGAAACUGGCGCCCUGGAGACGAGACGAGGGAGGCGGAACAAGUGAAGUAGCGGUGAAAUGCAUAGAUAUCACUUGGAACCCCGAUAGCGAAGGCAGUUUCCCAGGCUCGUUCUGACGCUGAUGCGCGA